rnacentral:lncRNA from 1 species
CUGGAUGUCCCCCUGACAUUGCAUUGAUGCACCUCGGUGGUAAUGACUUGACCUAGCAUGGGGCGAGUCAAUGGUAUUGCAGGUCAUUGUGGAUCUGCAGGUUUCUUGUUGUGUGUUUUCCCAGAACAUGCAUAGUGUGGUCAGCGAUCAUACCUCGUAUGGUAUGUAUGGCCCAAUGCAACCCCAGGUACAUUGAUAAAGCCUGGAAGGGAGUUAUCAGUGAAGUUUGUAAGGCCAUUAGGGCCAUAGGUGGGUCAGUGAUUUUGCAUCCUGACAUUUGAGUUAGUUGCCUCGAAUUAUACAGGGAGGAUGGGCUGCAUUUAUUAGAUUAGGGCUAGAUUUGUUCCUCCGGGAUUUACAAGGGGGCCUUAGGGCCGAAAUUUUCAGCUUGGGAGGUGGAGCAUAUGGUGUAACCCCUAGGCCCCUUGACACUGGUUCCAGACCUGUUUUGCACUACAACAGGCCCCCUUGUAAUACAGGAAGUUAAAGCAUUAAUACGUUAAUAAAAUUGUGGCCCUAUUUUAACCCAUACAUAUUGCAUCUCGUCUCAUUAUUCCGGGCUGGGCAGGCAAUGGGGGACUAGAGAAGUCUACAUUUUUUCCAUCUCCUAUCAACAGAAAUGUUGUUCUGAGAUGUUGUGACAUGUCUUGAAGUUGAUGGUUAAUCAUUCAUAGAUUUUGAAAGUUAUUGUUACAAAGACAGUAAAUACCAUAGGGUUAAAAUACUAAUUGCACAACCAAGUAUACUGAGGCCAAUGCCCUAGCAAAUUAAUUCCUUUAGUUACAACUGCCUAAUCUACUUCCUUAUAAAUUAAGAGGAAACCAUUUUCUGAAAAACAGCAUUUUUAAAUUGAAAGAUUUGUUAAAACCAAGUUGUUGUUUGGAUGCAAGUAUUAAUAUGUAUUUGUUCAUGUUCAGGUGAUCACUAAGCAGGUGGAUGCUCCCUAACCUGGGGAUGAGGCAGCCCACAUGACAUCUACAAGGAUGGUUGAUCCUACACCCUUGUUCAUACAAGCAUUUGCUUUUAAGGGUCAAUGUAACUAUUUGGUAAGUACAGUUUUGUCUCUUUUCUGUCUCUUUCUCCCUGCCUCCUUCUAUGAAAUAGACCAUAGAAAAUGAUUUUUAAAAAUAUAUAAUCAGAAACUUCUAUAAUUAUCCUAGCAACCUGAAUAUCAUAGAAAAAAACUUUAUCCAAUUCAAU